CCUCCCCCGCCUUAUUUUGAGAACGGCGGGGAAAAGCUCGCGUGAGGUUUGUAGCGCUCGGCCGGCUGCGGCCCAUGGCUGUCUCCGGGCCGCUCGGCACUUUCCGUCUCCCGCCGUUGCCCACAAUUCGAGAAAUCAUUAGGUUGUUUAAACUGCGAGCAGUGAAGCAGCUAUCCCAGAAUUUUCUCUUGGACUUGAGGCUAACAGAUAAAAUUGUAAGGAAAGCUGGCAGUCUGACAAAUGCUUAUGUUUAUGAAGUGGGCCCUGGGCCUGGCGGAAUCACAAGAUCCAUUCUCAAUGCUGGUAUUGCUGAACUUCUGGUGGUUGAAAAGGAUAGUCGGUUUAUUCCUGGAUUACAGAUGCUUUCUGAUGCAGCACCUGGAAAACUGAGAAUUGUCCAUGGAGAUGUGUUGACAUUUAAGAUAGAAAGGGCUUUUCCAGAAAGUCUCAAAAGACAGUGGGAGGAUGAUCCUCCAAAUGUACAUAUUAUUGGAAAUCUGCCUUUUAGUGUAUCAACUCCACUGAUUAUUAAGUGGCUUGAAAACGUUUCUCAUAGAAAUGGCCCUUUUGCUUAUGGCAGAACCCAGAUGACACUGACUUUUCAGAAGGAAGUGGCAGAGAGACUUAUAGCCAGUAAGGGAAGCAAGCAGCGUAGUCGUCUUUCCAUCAUGGCCCAGUACCUCUGCGACGUUCAGCACGUCUUGACAAUUCCAGGUCGGGCUUUUGUCCCCAAACCAGAGGUGGAUGUGGGGGUGGUGCACUUUACCCCCCUGACUCAGCCCAAGAUAGAGCAGCCGUUCAAGCUGGUGGAGAAAGUGGUUCAGAAUGCAUUUCAGUUCCGAAGGAAAUACUGCUAUCGAGGGCUUGGAAUGUUAUUCCCUGAAGCUCAGCGCAUGGAACGCACUGGGAAACUGUUAGAGUUGGCGGAUGUGGACCCUACUCUUCGACCCACCCAGCUCUCGGUCUCUCAUUUCCAGAGCCUCUGUGACGUGUACCGGAAAAUGUGUGAUGAAGACCCACACCUCUUUGCUUACAACUUCAGAGAAGCACUCAGGCACGCGUCAGAAAAGAGAGAGAGCGAUGACGGGGAGAGUUAGACUGCAGCUGCUGCUCGAGGCCCCAGCGGCCUGCCGGGGCCCCCGUGCAGUGCUUGCAGUUUUCUUUAUAAACCAAGAUGACAGCUCUCUUAAAGACUAAAGAAAAGAAAGAAAAGUCAUUAUUUCGUACCAAUUCGCCCAAGGCUGAACUACAGCUGACUGCUUGAAGAGAACAAGCUCCUCCAACUUAAGCUCCAAGGUCCCACGCGGCUAACACGUGAGGGAGUAAUUGGUACUUCCUUCCGUUCCUAUCUGAAUUACACAGCACAAGUACCUGCCUGUUUAAAGCUAUCAUCUGAAGGAGAUCCUGGCAUUUUGUUUUCUGAAUUCCUGUUUUAUUGAAAGCUGAGGCCAUGGUGUUCAUCUCGCCCAGAAUACAGUCUAGCCUCGCUCUUGUGUGACUGUGAUAGAAUUAUACAGUUGCCGCAUGUCAAGUUCAAGAGACAGAAAUGGAUUCAACCAGGAGACGGUCGAGUGCAUCAGAAGUUCCCCCAUUGAAAGUUCUGUGACCUAAAUGGUAAGAACGGAUCAAGGAGACACGGAAACAUGGAUAUUGGU